rnacentral:sRNA from 1 species
GCAGAAUUCAGUGAAUCAUCGAAUCUUUGAACGCAAAUGGCGCUCUUGGGUUCUCCCAGGAGCAUGUCUGUCUGAGUGUCUUUUUCGUUGAAUGACAUUCGCACGAUGUGGCCGUGUCAUGCACUGGCGUUUCGUGCGGCGUUGAGGUUCGCGGCCUUGCUAUUCUUAGGCCGCGUGCCUUUAAAUGGAGGAGGAAGAUGGGCUCAAGGUCCGGUGCAGUCGCAUGCGGAUUCAGUUCAUGUGCCGCAUGUGACUGCUGCACCGGGGAAUAUUGUCCUCGGCCCUCUACCUCGUGACCUUUAGCAGGACGCUCGUUCGUUCGUUGCUUGCCGCCAGACCUCAGAUCAGGCAAGGCUACCCGCUGAAUUUAAGCAUAUUAAUAAGCGGAGGAAAAGAAACUAACAAGGAUUCCCCCAGUAACGGCGAGUGAAGCGGGAAGAGCUCAAAUUUGAAAUCUCCGAUGCCUGCAUCGGCGAGUUGUAGUUGCGAGAAGCACUUUCUAGGCGGAAGGGCCCUGCCUAAGUUGCUUGGAACAGCACGUCGCAGAGGGUGACAACCCCGUCU